UUCCGUUGGUGAACCAGCGGAGGGAUCAUUACCGAGUUUACAACUCCCAAACCCAAUGUGAACGUUACCAAACUGUUGCCUCGGCGGGAUCUCUGCCCCGGGUGCGUCGCAGCCCCGGACCAAGGCGCCCGCCGGAGGACCAACCAAAACUCUUAUUGUAUACCCCCUCGCGGGUUUUUUUAUAAUCUGAGCCUUCUCGGCGCCUCUCGUAGGCGUUUCGAAAAUGAAUCAAAACUUUCAACAACGGAUCUCUUGGUUCUGGCAUCGAUGAGAACGCAGCGAAAUGCGAUAAGUAAUGUGAAUUGCAGAAUUCAGUGAAUCAUCGAAUCUUUGAACGCACAUUGCGCCCGCCAGUAUUCUGGCGGGCAUGCCUGUCCGAGCGUCAUUUCAACCCUCGAACCCCUCCGGGGGGUCGGCGUUGGGGAUCGGCCCUGCCUUGGCGGUGGCCGUCUCCGAAAUACAGUGGCGGUCUCGCCGCAGCCUCUCCUGCGCAGUAGUUUGCACACUCGCAUCGGGAGCGCGGCGCGUCCACAGCCGUUAAACACCCAACUUCUGAAAUGUUGACCUCGGAUCAGGUAGGAAUACCCGCUGAACUUAAGCAUAUCAAUAAGCGGAAGGAA
rnacentral:rRNA from 1 species